AGUCACUUUCCCUUCGGGGCAUUGGAGACAGGUGGUGCAUGGUUGUCGUCAGCUCGUGUCGUGAGAUGUUGGGUUAAGUCCCGCAACGAGCGCAACCCCUAUUUCCAGUAGCCAGCAAGAAAGAUGGGAACUCUGGAGAGACUGCCCGGGAUAACUGGGAGGAAGGCGGGGAUGACGUCAAAUCAUCAUGCCCCUUAUGAUCAGGGCUACACACGUGCUACAAUGGCGUAAACAAAGGGAAGCGAAGUGGUGACACGAAGCAAAUCCGAAAAACAACGUCUCAGUUCGGAUUGUAGUCUGCAACUCGACUACAUGAAGCUGGAAUCGCUAGUAAUCGCGAAUCAGAAUGUCGCGGUGAAUACGUUCCCGGGUCUUGUACACACCGCCCGUCACACCAUGGGAGUCGGAAAUGCCCGAAGUCAGUGACCCAACCGAGAGGAGGGAGCUGCCGAAGGUGGAGCCGGUAACUGGGGUGAAGUCGUAACAAGGUAGCCGUAUCGGAAGGUGCGG
rnacentral:rRNA from 1 species